GAUGAAGAACGCAGCGAAAUGCGAUACUUGGUGUGAAUUGCAGAAUCCCGUGAACCAUCGAGUUUUUGAACGCAAGUUGCGCCCGAAGCCAUUAGGCCGAGGGCACGCCUGCCUGGGCGUCACACGUCGUUGCCCCCCCAUCUACUCCUUCGGGAUUGCGAGGGGCGGAUGAUGGCCUCCCGUGCGCCUCGUCGCGCGGUUGGCAUAAAUGCCAAGUCCUCGGCGACGCACGCCACGACAAUCGGUGGUUGCGAAACCUCGGUUGCCCGUCGUGUGCGGUCGUCGCGCAUCGAGGGCUCGAAAAAAUUGCCGGGCUCCGGCUCGGCUUUCAACGCGACCCCAGGUCAGGCGGGGUUACCCGCUGAAUUUAAGCAUAUCAAUAGCGGAGGA
rnacentral:misc_RNA from 1 species